rnacentral:lncRNA from 1 species
UCCACAUGCUUUCUCCAACAACAAGAAGCAAAGGUGUAUUAUGAAACUUAACUUUCUGCAGAACAAGAUUCUAUUGCACAGCAGCUGAUAAAAACAUGAAAAACGAAAAAUAUUGUUAAUUAUAUUAUGAACAGAAUUACAUCCUAUUUACGUUCAUAGCAACGUUUGAAAUCCUUUCCCUUCCUUACAAGUUAAAAUGGCAGUUUCUGGAUUAAGUAUUUGAUAGCUUACACCGAAUUUUCAUGUAUUGACAACAACAAUCAGUGGAGUAUCAUUUUUUAUCACAAAUGCUGAGUUUGCUGCCUAUCCCCCUCCCCACCCCCACCCUCCAAAGAAAAAGGAAAGAAAAAAACUGUGUAUUAUAUUUACUCUGAUGCUCUUGCCGUCAAUUUUCAGAUUCGUCGUGACAUGGAUACCAAGAUUUUAGAUGCUCUGACAUUCAACGACAUUCAAUUACUGAAGAAGGAUCAGCCAAAAACUGCCUAGACCUUAGUUGAUGUUCCAAUUCUUUUCUUGGAGGAUCAUCGAAGACGAAUAGACUGCAAUCACAAUAUAAAUCAUAUAACUUCCAAGUUGUGCUGGAAGUAAACCAAAUGCAAUUUUCCUCUUCACACUUUGUGAUACCGCAAUACAACUGGUGCUCAAUUGAUAUUGCUUUAUCGCAACUCAAUUGAGCAGAGAGAACCUGAAUGUAGGAUGGCUCAUGGUAAGGUUUGGUUGGCGAGCCUCAUUGUCUAAGGAUGUUGAGAAGUGAUCUAAAGUCUAUUGACAGAAACAAUUUUAUAUCCUGAAAUCUGCAUGAAUAAUUUAAGUCAAAAUAGCAGAGAACUUCUCACUCCUCCCUAACAUAGGUUUCUGUUUUAAACUGCAUAGAUGCGUUUCCAACGCCGCUCCCCUGCAACCCACUCUCUGAAUCUGAAAUGCAUCUACCACAGUGGCCCCACCAAGAGUGAAGCCCUUUGCAUGUGGAAUUUUGUUUUUUGAUGUGCUGUUGCGAUAAAAUAAUUCAUUUCAUCUGUAAGAAUAGGCUUCUAUGGAAAGGGAGGUAGAACUGGAGCACCGAGCUCUAGAGGCAUCCACAGCCUUGGCCAGGGCGCAGGUAUUUUCCGUCUGCAAGUACAAUCUUUUAUACGGUUACAUCAUGAAUUGUAAAUUAUGAUAAUCGUCCUUUGGUUCUUGCAUGCUGUUGGUUUUAUGACAUAGGGAUUUAGCUGUUUGUUUUAACAUAUAAUGACAAGCCAGAAUAGUAUUAGCUUGAAGAGA